GGCUCACGCCUGUAAUCCCAGCACUUUGGGAAGCCGAGGCGGGCGGGUCACCUGAGGUCAGGAGUUUGAGACCAGCCUGGCCAACAUGGUGAAACCCUGUCUCUACUAAAAAUAUAAAAAUUAGCCGGGCUUGAUGGUGGGUGCCUGUAUUCCCAGCUACUUGGGGGACUGAGGCAGGAGAAUCUGAGGCAGGAGAAUCGCUUGAACCCAGGAGGCAGAGGUUGCAGUGAGCCGAGACCAUGCCAUUGCACUCCAGCUUGGGCAACUCUGUCUCAAAAAAAAAAGAAAAAGACUAGCCUGGGCAACAUGGCGAAACCCUGUCUCUACAAACAAGUAUUAGCCGGGUAUGGUAGCAGGCGCCUGUAGUCCCAGCCACUCAGGAGGCUGAGGUGGGAGGAUUGCCUGAACCCGGGAGGUCAAGGCUUCAGUGAGCUAUGAUGCACCACUGCACUCCAGCCUGGGUGACAGAACGAGAUCCUGUCUUAAAAACAAAAACAAAAGCAAGGCUGGGUGUGGCUCAUGCCUGUAAUCCUAGCACUUUGGGAGGCCAAGGCAGGCGGAUCACUUGAGGUCAGGAGUUUGAGACCAGCCUGGCCAACAUGGUGAAACCCUGUCUCUACCAAAAAAAUAGAAAAAUUAGCUGGAUGUGAUGGCACGCACCUUUAAUCCCAGCUACUCGGGAGGCUGAGGUAAGAGAAUCGUUUGAACCCCGGAGUUGGAGGUUGUAGUGAACAAGACUCUUGUCUCAAAAAAAAAAAAAAAAAUACUUGGGAGUUGUGUAUAGGUAAGUAAAACAAGAUUGGCAAACAUUGAUAGUUAUUGAAGCUGGACAGUGACUACUUAGGAAUUCAUUAUAUUUUCUCUCUGCUUUUAUGCAUGUUUGAAAUUUGUGUAUAACAAAUAAUAAGUUUUAAAAACAUACCCUGUGGUUAUUUAAAAAAAGGAAGGGGCUCUCAGAAUGUACUGAUAAAAUGAUCUCCAGGAUUUAAGUGAAAAGGCAAAGUAGAACAAUGUGUAUAAUGGGUUACUAUUGGGGUUGACAAAGGGGAAAGAAAAGAAUAAAUAUGUAUUUGUUUAUACUCAUAUGUUAGAAUAUCUCUAGAAGUCUUCACAAGAAGUGCCUCUUGGGACAGAGUUAAGAGAAAAGGCUUGCUUUUCAUUAUGUUUUUUUAUACCCUUUGAAUAUAUACAUUAUGUACUAUUAAAAAAAUAGAUGUUUGAAAAGAGUAGAAUUAGGAAGACGAAUUCUAGACACAUAUACCUCUAUCAGUUUAGAACAACAGAAUAUUAAUGCUGAAAGAAUUUUAGAUUUGGACCAUCUCAUUUUAAAACUAAAAAAGCUGAAGUCUAGAGAGAGAUAAUUUUUUCAUUGCAUUUAUGUGACUGGUGUCAGAGG
rnacentral:lncRNA from 1 species